rnacentral:rRNA from 1 species
UCCUACGGGAGGCAGCAGUAGGGAAUCUUCGGCAAUGGGCGAAAGCCUGACCGAGCAACGCCGCGUGAACGAUGAAGGCCUUCGGGUUGUAAAAUUCUGUUAUAAGGGAAGAACGACUUUAGUAGGAAAUGGCUAGAGUGUGACGGUACCUUAUGAGAAAGCCACGGCUAACUACGUGCCAGCAGCCGCGGUAAUACGUAGGUGGCGAGCGUUAUCCGGAAUUAUUGGGCGUAAAGAGCGCGCAGGUGGUUGAUUAAGUCUGAUGUGAAAGCCCACGGCUUAACCGUGGAGGGUCAUUGGAAACUGGUCGACUUGAGUGCAGAAGAGGGAAGUGGAAUUCCAUGUGUAGCGGUGAAAUGCGUAGAGAUAUGGAGGAACACCAGUGGCGAAGGCGGCUUCCUGGUCUGUAGCUGACACUGAGGCGCGAAAGCGUGGGGAGCAAACAGGAUUAGAUACCCUGGUAGUCCACGCCGUAAACGAUGAGUGCUAAGUGUUGGGGGUCGAACCUCAGUGCUGAAGUUAACGCAUUAAGCACUCCGCCUGGGGAGUACGGUCGCAAGACUGAAACUCAAAGGAAUUGACGG